AGCGGCGGACGGGUUAGUAACGCGUGGGAAUAUACCCUUUACUACGGAAUAGCCUCGGGAAACUGAGAGUAAUACCGUAUACGCCCUUCGGGGGAAAGAUUUAUCGGUAAAGGAUUAGCCCGCGUCUGAUUAGAUAGUUGGUGGGGUAAUGGCCUACCAAGUCUACGAUCAGUAGCUGGUUUGAGAGGAUGAUCAGCAACACUGGGACUGAGACACGGCCCAGACUCCUACGGGAGGCAGCAGUGGGGAAUCUUAGACAAUGGGCGCAAGCCUGAUCUAGCCAUGCCGCGUGAGUGACGAAGGCCUUAGGGUCGUAAAGCUUUUUCGCCAGGGAAGAUAAUGACUGUACCUGGUAAAGAAACCCCGGCUAACUCCGUGCCAGCAGCCGCGGUAAUACGGAGGGGGUUAGCGUUGUUCGGAAUUACUGGGCGUAAAGCGCACGUAGGCGGAUCAGAAAGUAAGAGGUGAAAUCCCAGGGCUCAACCCUGGAACUGCCUUUUAAACUCCUGGUCUUGAGUUCGAGAGAGGUGAGUGGAAUUCCGAGUGUAGAGGUGAAAUUCGUAGAUAUUCGGAGGAACACCAGUGGCGAACGCGGCUCACUGGCUCGAUACUGACGCUGAGUGCGAAGCGUGGGGAGCAACAGGAUUAGAUACCCUGUUAGUCAACGUCGA
rnacentral:rRNA from 1 species